rnacentral:rRNA from 1 species
CCUACGGGUGUCAGCAGUGGGGAAUAUUGCACAAUGGGGGAAACCCUGAUGCAGCGACGCCGCGUGAGGGAAGCAGUCAUUCGUUAUGUAAAGCUCUAUCAGCAGGGAAGUAAAUGACGGUACCUGAGUCAGAAGCCCCGGCUAACUACGUGCCAGCCGCCGCGGUAAUACGUAGGGAGCAAGCGUUAUCCGGAUUUACUGGGUGUAAAGGGAGCGUAGACGGCAGUGCAAGUCUGGUGUGAAAGGUGGGGGCUCAACCCCAGGACUGCUCUGGAAACUGGACGGCUGGAGUGCAGGAGAGGUAAGUGGAAGUCGUGGUGGAGCGGUGAAAUGCGUAGAUAUUAGGAGGAACACCAGUGGCGAAGGCGGCUUACUGGACUGUAACUGACGUUGAGGCUCGAAAGUGUGGGGAGCAAACAGGAUUAGAUACCCCUGUAGUC